GCAAAUAUUGUCACCAAGCUCUCAUCGUCAAGGUUGCAUAGUCGCUUGGGUCAUCCAUCUUCAGUCAUAGUUAGAUAUGUUCUUAGCAAAAAUAAACUCUCUUAUGAGCCUAGUGUUGAGUCAGUUUGUGAUCCUUGUCAACAAGCAAAAAGUCAUCAAUUACCUUACCCUAUUUCUACUAGUGUGUCUACUGCUCCUCUACAACUUAUCUUUUCAGAUGUAUGGGGGCCAGCUCCUACUUCAGUUGGUAGAUUUUUCUAUUAUGUAAGCUUUAUUGAUGACUAUAGUAAAUUUACUUGUAUUUAUUUACUAAAGAAACGAUCCGAUGUAUUCCAAGUUUUU
rnacentral:rRNA from 1 species